rnacentral:rRNA from 1 species
GGGGACGUUACUUAGCUCGAUAAUCCGCGGUCAUUCUCUCACAUAUUCGUCAAUGUCGUAAGGGAAAAUAAUGAUAAUACCUUACUAAUAGUGUCGUCCAAAUCUGGUGCCAGAAGACUCGGUAAGACCAGAGACGCAAACGUUAAUCAUCUUAAACAGGCGUAAAGGGUUUGUAGGCGGUUUUCAUAAGGCUAUUACUAAACAAAUAAAGUAGUCUAAUUGGAAACUAGAAUCAAAAAGAGGUUAUAGUGUAUAACGCUUAGAGGAGGGCUGAUAUCCUUAGAUCCUAGGCAGAAUACUCAGUGCGAAGGCCACUUUCCAUUAAUGAUUGACGCUGAGAAACGAAGGUUAGGCUAGGAAAUAGGAUUAGAUACCCCGGUACUCCUUUCUGUAAACGAUGAAUGGUAGUCUUUAGUUUAUUAAAAACUAGAGGCGAAGUUAACACGAUAACCAUUCCGCCUUGUGAGUACUACUGCAAAGUAGAAAACAAAAAAAUUAGUCGGUCUCGAAGCAAACGGAGUGAAGCAUGUUAUUUAAUUCAUUAAUCCGCA